rnacentral:rRNA from 1 species
UACGGAGGGGGCUAGCGUUGUUCGGAAUUAUUGGGCGUAAAGGGCACGUAGGCGGCCGAAUAAGUCUGAUGUGAAAUCCCUCGGCUCAACCGGGGAACUGCAUUUGAAACUGUUCGGCUCGAGUCCGGGAGAGGGUAGUGGAAUUCCCAGUGUAGCGGUGAAAUGCGUAGAUAUUGGGAGGAACACCGGUGGCGAAGGCGGCUACCUGGACCGGUACUGACGCUGAGGCGCGAAAGCUAGGGUAGCAAACAGG